UACGUAGGGGGCAAGCGUUGUCCGGAUUUAUUGGGCGUAAAGAGCGUGUAGGCGGCCAUGCAGGUCCGUUGUGAAAACUCGAGGCUCAACCUCGAGACGUCGAUGGAAACCGCACGGCUAGAGUCCGGGAGAGGAGAGUGGAAUUCCUGGUGUAGCGGUGAAAUGCGCAGAUAUCAGGAAGAACACCCGUGGCGAAAGCGGCUCUCUGGAACGGUACUGACGCUGAGGCGCGAAAGCUAGGGGAGCAAACGGG
rnacentral:rRNA from 1 species